UCAGGGAGAAUAUUUUGGUCUCAUGAUAUCUAAUAUAACCAGAAUGUAAAUAAGCUGCAGUUUGGAGGGAAUCUUAUACCAUUUGGGGCUUGAAAACUCAUUCAGAGAGGUAUUAACUAGUACUGAGAAAAGAGGAUCAAGAGUUACAUAAGAGUCCCAGCCCUUUGAGUCAUCACCUCCAGGAGGCAAAAUAGUACAAGGACCCUAGUGAUCUGCAUUCUUACAGUGGCUAUGGGGCAAAGCCAUCCUAAGCAAGCUAGCUCUGGGGUGCCAUGCUCCCCUGCUAUUAAAUUAAGAAGUUUGUAACUAGACCUAAAAUUCUGUGAUUUUACAGCUAUCAUGUGCCCACAAGAAAAAGUCAUCGCUGUCUUCCCAUGCUUGGCAGAACACACACCCUCUCCAUCAAGACAAUGGGAAGGCAUACAGCCCUUCAACAGCUCCACCUUUCCAGGGUAGAAUGUUCUCACCAGUACUUGCGGAGGAAAAUGAGAAGAAAUGUUCACCUGGAGGAUGAGAGUUGUGCCAGAUUUGAAACUGAAUUUGAAGUCCAAAUUCCUGUGGUGGGGACCACAUUUCUUUGACCAGGCUCUUCCAUUUCUUUAUGUGAGCACAGCUCCCAGCAGGAAAUACUCAUUUCUCAAACUUUUCUUGAGACCAUUAAAUCAGUACUACAGACAGUCAGCAGUUGAAUGGACACAUCCUUUUUAUUGGCUCCCUGAUAAUCUGCACAGUGAAAUAUGGAAUUGUUCUGUACGGAGUUACCAGCUUUGGAAGCAAAAUAAGGUACCUUUCUUUCAAUAUUCUAAUUAAGUUACUCUAACCCCUCAAUCUGCCUGUGGAGGGAAGAUUUCUUCCAUCCCUGAGGUCUUCCUUCCCAAAAGAAGUCCCAAGACUGAGAGGGGUUUAUGCAAUCCAGUCAAUCUGUUUUGAUGAUCAUCUAUUUUAGAAAAGAAAAUAGAAUAACUUCCACGGUCAGAGUUUCGGUCUGUUCGGGCUACUGUAACAAAAACACCAUAGAUUGUGUGGCGUAAACUCAUGGUUCUGGAGGCUGGGAAGUCCAAGAUCAAGGUCGUAUUUGGUGUCUGGUGAUUCAUAGAGGGACCUCUUCUCCCUGUGUUCUUACGUGGUGGGAG
rnacentral:lncRNA from 1 species